UACAGAGGUCUCAAGCGUUGUUCGGAUUCAUUGGGCGUAAAGGGUGCGUAGGUGGCGGGGUAAGUCAGGUGUGAAAUCUCGGGGCUCAACCCCGAAACUGCACUUGAUACUGCCUUGCUCGAGUACUGGAGAGGAGAUUGGAAUUUACGGUGUAGCAGUUGAAAUGCGUAGAUAUCGUAAGGAAGACCAGUGGCGAAGGCGGGUCUCUGGACAGUUCCUGACGCUGAGGCACGAAGGCCAGGGGAGCAAACGGGG
rnacentral:rRNA from 1 species